GAGUUUGAUCAUGGCUCAGGACGAACGCUGGCGGCGUGCCUAACACAUGCAAGUCGAACGGAGAACUCAAAAAGCUUGCUUUGAGAGUUUUUAGUGGCGGACGGGUGAGUAACGCGUGGAUAACCUACCCAAGAGACCGGGACAACCCUUGGAAACGAGGGCUAAUACCGGAUAGCCUUAGGCUUUGGCAUCAAAGCAUAAGGGAAGGUGGCCUCUGAAAAUGCUACCGCUGAUGGAUGGAUCCGCGUCUGAUUAGCUAGUUGGUGGGUAAAGGCCUACCAAGGCGACGAUCAGUAGCCGGCCUGAGAGGGUGAACGGCCACACUGGGACUGAGACACGGCCCAGACUCCUACGGGAGGCAGCAGUGGGGAAUCUUCCGCAAUGGACGAAAGUCUGACGGAGCAACGCCGCGUGUACGAUGAAGGCCUCGGUUGUAAGUACU
rnacentral:rRNA from 1 species